UACUUGAAACAUCGUGACGCAAUCACAGCAUCUCCUAAAUCUUAACUAAUCCCAGUCCAGGCCUUGGCCCCGACUUCCGGCUUUGCGUUGCUAGGUGACGCGACGUCACUCUGGAAUACUAACUCGCUUCCUGUGUGGGAGUUGUGCUGCUAGCGGUGCCGGCAAGAUGAGCGCUAUGUUUGCAGAUACCAUUCCGAUCGUGUUUAUAUCAGUGUGCACAGCGCUGCUGGCUGAGGUGGAAAAGAAAGAGGAAUCCAUAACAGAAUCUGCUGGACGCACUCAAGAAAAUUGCUAAUUCAAGUUAUAGUUCAAUAGGGGGUGCAGAUUGAAAAUAACGCCAGGAAGAGAAACUCAAGAACAAUAACCGAGAUCUCUCCAUGGUGAGAAGGGAAACGUGAAACAGUGAUGAUCCUGAUGCAAGUAUAAAAAUAAUGCCCAGUACUUCCAUACAAGUCUGAAAGACUCUUUAGCUGCUCACACAUGCAGACUUACGGUAUGAAGAUCCAAAUUACGGAAAGAUCCGUUAUCAAGAAAACCCCAGUUCCCGAGCUUUCUGAAUAACAGAUUUGAUGGGCGGGUUGUAGCCAAGCUUCCCUUUGUGCCUCUAUCGUAUAUUCAGGGGCUGUCGUACAGAAACCUCAUUGGGGAAGAUUACACCGAGUGCUCGUUUAUCUUCUUGUACAUACUGUGCACCAUGUCCAUCCGACAGCUUUAGUUCCACUUGAAUAAAACUGAGACCUCCGGUAAUCCCCUGCAUAAUGGACUUCUGAUAUACUGCCUAUGUCUCCAUCUUGUUAUAACAUUCUGUACGUUGGGGAGAGUGCUUCCCAUACAAGCCGGGAGACCAAACGGAAUCCGUUAUCCCCAUGGAGCCCCAGUAGGACCCUAGCAACAAAAUAUCCAGAAGCUGCUGGGACUUGCUCCACCCCGUGCUGCUACCAAACUAGCAGGGGGAUUUCUCGGCCCCCCCACCCCAGGCUGGAAAAUUCUCUUAGGUCUUCUAGGAAUGCUUUGUCCUGAUGGAUCUUCACUGCCAUCUGUCACUCAUCUAAAGACUGAAAGAAGGACUCCAAUAGUGAAGCUGAUUCCACACGUGCUAUUUAUAGAGCAGUCUUCCUCAGACUUUUAACCCCUUUACUUGCAGGGGACUUUAACACACACAUCUCAAUGCAACAGUCAAGUCACACCCAGUUGUGUGUUUUUACGUUUUUUUUCUCUUAAAAUGGUCUAAUUUAUAUAUUGAUGAGUUUUGAACACAAGUAUGUUACAUGAUAUAUCAGAUAAUAAAAGUUCCAAUUCCAAACUAUGUUACUGGGGAUAAAGUCAAAUCUGCACGGGGAGGCACAUUUAUCAAGGGUCGAAUUUCGAAUUCAUAGGAGUUCUUUAAAACUCCCAUAAAUUCGAAAUUUAUUAAUAAAAUAUUUUUUUAAAACUCUGUUGAAUUGAAACAACCCGAAAACUCGAAUCGAAUUUGAUUGGAAUUUAAAUGCCUAUUUGAAUUUAAAAAAAAAACUCUUCUGGCAGGAAGACUGUAAACAUCACCAAACUGAUCCCCUGUCCCAUUGACUUACACAGUAAUUUGGCAGGUUUUAGUUGGUGAAUAGUUGAAUAAGUUUUUAAAGGGCCCAGAGUAUGAUAAAUCUCAAAAUUCAAAUUAAAACUCGAAUCAAGUUUGGAUAAUUUAUCAUUUGAAUGAGAGUUUUGACCAAAAAAAAAUUUUCAUUUCAACCCAUAAAUUUCGAUAUGUCUGAGAGUUAUUGUGUUAUAAUGCAAUGGGCACAGGGCCUGUAGUUCUAGUGCUGUCACUAAACUGUCUCUGUGCCUCACUAUGAAUUAAUUCCCUGUUAUCAGUCAAUGAAUCAUAUGGUAUUUAUGUGAAAUACAUCAACUCUACAUGAAAAAUAAAUCUUGUUUUACAAUUA